UACGAGUGCCCCAAGCGUUAUCCGGAAUCAUUGGGCGUAAAGGGUGUGUAGGCGGUUUUGUUAGUCUUCUGUGAAAUUCUUCGGCUCAACCGGGGUCCGCAGAAGAAACGGCAAACCUAGAGGAUGUGAGAGGUGAAUGGAACUCAUGGUGUAGGGGUGAAAUCCGUUGAUAUCAUGGGGAACACCAAAAGCGAAGGCAAUUCACUGGCACAUUCCUGACG
rnacentral:rRNA from 1 species